rnacentral:rRNA from 1 species
GAGUUUGAUCCUGGCUCAGGAUAAACGCUGGCGGCGCACAUAAGACAUGCAAGUCGAACGGAAGUCGUUAUGAUGAUUUCAACACUGACAGAGAACUUGUUCAAAGAAAGUAGAGAUUGACUUAUAACAAUGGCUUUAGUGGCGGACUGGUGAGUAACACGUGAGCAACCUGCCUAUCAGAGGGGAAUAACAGUGAGAAAUCAUUGCUAAUACCGCAUAUGCCAUAAAUAUCACAUGAUAAAAGUGGGAAAGGAGUAAUCCGCUGAUAGAUGGGCUCGCGUCUGAUUAGAUAGUUGGUGGGGUAACGGCCUACCAAGUCGACGAUCAGUAGCCGGACUGAGAGGUUGAACGGCCACAUUGGGACUGAGAUACGGCCCAGACUCCUACGGGAGGCAGCAGUCGGGAAUAUUGCGCAAUGGAGGAAACUCUGACGCAGUGACGCCGCGUAUAGGAAGAAGGUUUUCGGAUUGUAAACUAUUGUCGUUAGGGAAGAUACAAGACAGUACCUAAGGAGGAAGCUCCGGCUAACUACGUGCCAGCCGCCGCGGUAAUUC